rnacentral:rRNA from 1 species
AUUGAACGCUGGCGGCAGGCCUAACACAUGCAAGUCGAGCGGAUGAGUGGAGCUUGCUCCAUGAUUCAGCGGCGGACGGGUGAGUAAUGCCUAGGAAUCUGCCUGGUAGUGGGGGACAACGUUUCGAAAGGAACGCUAAUACCGCAUACGUCCUACGGGAGAAAGUGGGGGAUCUUCGGACCUCACGCUAUCAGAUGAGCCUAGGUCGGAUUAGCUAGUUGGUGAGGUAAAGGCUCACCAAGGCGACGAUCCGUAACUGGUCUGAGAGGAUGAUAAGUCACACUGGAACGGAGACACGGUCCAGACUCCUACGGGAGGCAGCAGUGGGGAAUAUUGGACAAUGGGCGAAAGCCUGAUCCAGCCAUGCCGCGUGUGUGAAGAAGGUCUUCGGAUUGUAAAGCACUUUAAGUUGGGAGGAAGGGCAGUAAGUUAAUACCUUGCUGUUUUGACGUUACCAACAGAAUAAGCACCGGCUAACUUCGUGCCAGCAGCCGCCGUAAUAC